rnacentral:rRNA from 1 species
GAUGAACGCUGGCUACAGGCUUAACACAUGCAAGUCGAGGGGAAACGACGGGGAAGCUUGCUUCCCCGGGCGUCGACCGGCGCACGGGUGAGUAACGCGUAUCCAACCUGCCUCUGACUGAGGGAUAACCCGUCGAAAGUCGGCCUAAUACCUCAUGGUAUCGUCUGCGGGCAUCCAACGACGAUUAAAGAUUUCAUCGGUCAGGGAUGGGGAUGCGUCUGAUUAGCUUGUUGGCGGGGUAACGGCCCACCAAGGCUACGAUCAGUAGGGGUUCUGAGAGGAAGGUCCCCCACAUUGGAACGGAGACACGGUCCAAACCCCGACGGGAGGCAGCAGUGAGGAAUAUUGGUCAAGGGGCGAGGGCCUGAACCAGCCAAGUGGCGUGAAGGAAGACGGCCCUUUGGGUUGUAAACUGCUUUUAUGGGGGGAUAAAGGGAGGGACGUGUCCCUCAUUGCAGGUACCGCAUGAAAAAGGACCGGCUAAUUCCGU